GCGAGGGGGUUGGAAACGGCCUGGCGACGGGGGCGGAGCGUGGAGCGGGCACCUGGGAGGAGCGCGAGGCAGCUGGGGCUUCUCCUCGGCUUCUCCGCAGAAGGAGGACCGGAGGGCGUGGGCUAUAGGGCCAGGUGCGCCAGGUGACUGGGGAGCGAGCGGGUGGCUGCUGCCUCAGGAACUGCAAGAUGUGAAAGUGGGAGGAGAUGUGAGUCCACGAGGAUUGUCAAUGCUCUAACUGCCCCGUCAGGAUGGGUUUUACCAGAUAAUCUGAAGCUCUCCUCUUCGUGGGCAAAUAUGACGGAAAGAAGUGAAAGGAUUGGGAAAUGGUUCCAGACCAUAUACAGUCGGCUUCUCGACCUUGUAGUAAAAAUUACAGAUUUCACUGGAGUUCGAUGAAGUUUAGAAAGACCAAAGAAACUGGACUACUCAAGGAUUUUAAGACCCAGGAAAUAGUGGGCAACCAAAAUGCUAUAUUGGAAACAUAAGUCUUACAUCAAAGCAAAUUCAAAUGUGUGUUAACCAGAGCCAGGCCAUCGUAUCGUUUUAUUCCUCCACCAAUUGCUUCAGGUCAAGGCACUGGUCCAAAGAGCUGGCUUGAUUCUGGCUCCAGAAUCCACUAUGCUCCAUGGAGACAGACACUGUCAAGGACAAGCACCUGGACCAUCUCCUCCCCACAAAGAGAUACAGCUGGUGGGAAAGCUGCUGACCAGCAAGGUCAUGAGCUCCCUCCUCUCUGCAAGUGUCUCAAGGCCAAAGACAGGCUGGUGGGAAAGCUCCGACCAGCAAGGCCCUAUGCUCCCCCUCCCCUACCGAAAACCCCAAAUAAAAACCCUUCCUUUUAGCUUUUUCGGGGAGUUUGGGAUUUCAGUGUUAGCUGCCCUCUCUCCUUGCUCAGUGCUGUGCAAAAAAGAAAGUUCCUACUUUCUUCCACCACCCCUGGUGUCAGAGAUUGGCUUGCUGCAUGAUGGGUGAGUGAACUCACUUCAGGUUCGGUAACAUUUCUAAAUAUCAGACCAUCUACAAGGCUGAUUUGGUGGAUAAGGUGAAUCCACAUUUAUUCAACAAUUAGGGUGCUGUGUUAUAAAUGUUGUGUUUAAGCCAGGUAUGUAAGAACAAAUAAUUAUUUGGAACACGUUUUUUUAAUAGUGAAAGACAAAAAGAAGAAAGGAGGGGGCCCCCUUAAGAAUUGUAAAGAUUGAAAUGUUUUGAAUUACAGGACACUCUCAGGAUUAUUCAUAACAUAGUAAAGUAAUAAUUUUUAUUUUGA
rnacentral:lncRNA from 1 species